rnacentral:rRNA from 1 species
GAUGAACGCUGGCGGCGUGCCUAAUACAUGCAAGUCGAGCGAACAGACGAGGAGCUUGCUCCUCUGACGUUAGCGGCGGACGGGUGAGUAACACGUGGAUAACCUACCUAUAGGACUGGGAUAACUUCGGGAAACCGGAGCUAAUACCGGAUAAUAUAUUGAACCGCAUGGUUCAAUAGUGAAAGACGGUUUUGCUGUCACUUAUAGAUGGAUCCGCGCCGCAUUAGCUAGUUGGUAAGGUAACGGCUUACCAAGGCGACGAUGCGUAGCCGACCUGAGAGGGUGAUAGGCCACACUGGAACUGGGACACGGACCAGACUCCUACGGGAGGCAGCAGUAGGGAAUCUUCCGCAAUGGGCGAAAGCCUGACGGAGCAACGCCGCGUGAGUGAUGAAGGUCUUCGGAUCGUAAAACUCUGUUAUUAGGGAAGAACAAAUGUGUAAGUAACUAUGCACGUCUUGACGGUACCUAAUCAGAAAGCCACGGCUAACUACGUG